rnacentral:rRNA from 2 species
UCGAACGAUGAAACUUAGUAGACUUCUUCGGAAUGACACUAAGCGAAUUAGUGGCGAACGGGUGAGUAACGCGUGAGUAACCUGCCUUACACAAGGGGAUAGCCUUUGGAAACGAAGAAUAAUACCCUAUAAAACUAUAAAAGCACAUGCUAGAAUGGUCAAAGUGCUAGCGGUGUAAGAUGGACUUGCGUCUGAUUAGCUAGUUGGUGAGAUAAAAGCUCACCAAGGCAACGAUCAGUAGCCGGCUUGAGAGAGUGUACGGCCACAUUGGGACUGAGACACGGCCCAGACUCCUACGGGAGGCAGCAGUGGGGAAUUUUGCACAAUGGGGGAAACCCUGAUGCAGCGACGCCGCGUGAUUUAGAAGGCCUUCGGGUUGUAAAAAUCUUUUGUAUAGGAAGAAAAUGACAGUACUAUACGAAUAAGGUCCGGCUAAUUACGUGCCAGCAGCCGCGGUAAUACGUAAGGACCGAGCGUUGUCCGGAAUCAUUGGGCGUAAAGGGUACGUAGGCGGCUAGAAAAGUUAGAAGUCAAAGGCUAUAGCUCAACUAUAGUAAGCUUCUAAAACUAUUUAGCUUGAGAAAUGGAAGGGAAAGUGGAAUUCCUAGUGUAGCGGUGGAAUGCGCAGAUAUUAGGAAGAAUACCGGUGGCGAAGGCGACUUUCUGGCCAUUAUCU